UGCUCUCGGGUGACGAGCGGCGGACGGGUGAGUAAUGUCUGGGAAACUGCCUGAUGGAGGGGGAUAACUACUGGAAACGGUAGCUAAUACCGCAUAACGUCGCAAGACCAAAGUGGGGGACCUUCGGGCCUCAUGCCAUCAGAUGUGCCCAGAUGGGAUUAGCUAGUAGGUGGGGUAAUGGCUCACCUAGGCGACGAUCCCUAGCUGGUCUGAGAGGAUGACCAGCCACACUGGAACUGAGACACGGUCCAGACUCCUACGGGAGGCAGCAGUGGGGAAUAUUGCACAAUGGGCGCAAGCCUGAUGCAGCCAUGCCGCGUGUAUGAAGAAGGCCUUCGGGUUGUAAAGUACUUUCAGCGAGGAGGAAGGCGUUAAGGUUAAUAACCUUAGCGAUUGACGUUACUCGCAGAAGAAGCACCGGCUAACUCCGUGCCAGCAGCCGCGGUAAUACGGAGGGUGCAAGCGUUAAUCGGAAUUACUGGGCGUAAAGCGCACGCAGGCGGUCUGUUAAGUCAGAUGUGAAAUCCCCGGGCUCAACCUGGGAACUGCAUUUGAAACUGGCAGGCUUGAGUCUUGUAGAGGGGGGUAGAAUUCCAGGUGUAGCGGUGAAAUGCGUAGAGAUCUGGAGGAAUACCGGUGGCGAAGGCGGCCCCCUGGACAAAGACU
rnacentral:rRNA from 2 species